rnacentral:rRNA from 1 species
GAAGUGUGGACGCCAGUCUGCAUGGAGCCGGCCUUGAAAUACCACCCUUUAAUGUUUGAUGUUCUAACGUUGGCCCCUGAUCGGGGUUGCGGACAGUGUCUGGUGGGUAGUUUGACUGGGGCGGUCUCCUCCUAAAGAGUAACGGAGGAGCACGAAGGUUGGCUAAUCCUGGUCGGACAUCAGGAGGUUAGUGCAAUGGCAUAAGCCAGCUUGACUGCGAGCGUGACGGCGCGAGCAGGUGCGAAAGCAGGUCAUAGUGAUCCGGUGGUUCUGAAUGGAAGGGCCAUCGCUCAACGGAUAAAAGGUACUCCGGGGAUAACAGGCUGAUACCGCCCAAGAGUUCAUAUCGACGGCGGUGUUUGGCACCUCGAUGUCGGCUCAUCACAUCCUGGGGCUGAAGUAGGUCCCAAGGGUAUGGCUGUUCGCCAUUUAAAGUGGUACGCGAGCUGGGUUUAGAACGUCGUGAGACAGUUCGGUCCCUAUCUGCCGUGGGCGCUGGAGAACUGAGGGGGGCUGCUCCUAGUACGAGAGGACCGGAGUGGACGCAUCACUGGUGUUCGGGUUGUCAUGCCAAUGGCACUGCCCGGUAGCUAAAUGCGGAAGAGAUAAGUGCUGAAAGCAUCUAAGCACGAAACUUGCCCCGAGAUGAGUUCUCCCUGACUCCUUGAGAGUCCUGAAGGAACGUUGAAGACGACGACGUUGAUAGGCCGGGUGUGUAAGCGCAGCGAUGCGUUGAGCUAACCGGUACUAAUGAACCGUGAGG